AGAGUUUGAUCCUGGCUCAGAAUGAACGUUGGCGGCGUGGAUUAGGCAUGCAAGUCGAACGGGCCGCAAGGCCAGUGGCGCAAGGGUGAGUAAGGCGACGGUAACCAACCCCGGGAUUGGGUAUAGCCGCGGGAAACCGCGGGUAAUCCCCAGCGACGCGACGACACCGGCAUCGGUGUCUCGCCAAAGCCCCGGCGUCCUGGGACGGGCUGUCGUGGUAUUAGCUUGUUGGCGGGGUAACGGCCCACCAAGGCUCUGAUGCCUACCGGGCGUGCGAGCGUGGCCCGGCACACUGGGACUGAGACACUGCCCAGACUCCUACGGGAGGCUGCAGUCGAGAAUCUUCGGCAAUGGGCGCAAGCCUGACCGAGCGACGCCGCGUGGAGGAUGAAGGCCUUCGGGUUGUAAACUCCUGUCGAGGGGGAAAAAGGCCCCGCAAGGGGCUUGAUUGAUCCCUGGAGGAAGCACGGGCUAAGUUCGUGCCAGCAGCCGCGGUAAGACGAACCGUGCGAACGUUAUUCGGAAUCAUUGGGCUUAAAGCGCGUGUAGGCGGAUUCGUGCGUCUGUCGCUGAAAUCCCCCGGCUCAACCGGGGAACGGGCGCGGAUACGACGAGUCUGGAGGGGCAUAGGGGGACCUGGAACUUCCGGUGGAGCGGUGAAAUGCGUUGAGAUCGGAAGGAACGCCCGUGGCGAAAGCGAGGUCCUGGAUGCCUACUGACGCUGAGACGCGAAAGCCAGGGGAGCGAACGGGAUUAGAUACCCUAGUAGUCC
rnacentral:rRNA from 1 species